rnacentral:lncRNA from 1 species
CAGCAGCACUGCUAGCAACAACAGCAGCAGAAUGGACAGACACACAAGACACAUUCACACGGGGGGACACUGUGUAGCAGUGAAAAUAGAUGAAGCACAUCUCCAGGCAUGAGCCAGGAAGGAUCUCACCAAUGUUGGGCAGGAAGAACUGGCUGCAGAGGAUACAUACAAGUGAUCUGGUUUAUAUGAAGCUAAAAAAUAGGCACAACUGAGCACUACAUUGUCUGUGAAUAUGCACAUGUGGGACAUGGCUUCCAAGAAAGCCAAGGAAACAACUGGAAUGCAAUGGCAGGAUCUCAGCUCACCGCAACCUCCGCCUCCCAGGUUCAAGUGAUUCCCCUGCCUCAGCCUCCCUCAGCUGGGAUUACAGGCGUG